rnacentral:rRNA from 1 species
GAGGAGAUCACCCAGCUAGAGCACUUUUUCAAUGGGCUCCCCAACAAAUUCAUAUGUCAUCCAUAUCAACUUUCGAUGCCAUUUACUGCGCCUAACAUAGUGACCACGGGUAACGGGGAAUCAGGGUUCGAUUCUGGAGAGUGAGCCUGAGAAACUGCAACCACAUGCCAGGAAGGCAGUGGACACGCAAAUGACCCACUUCAGACGCGGGAAGGUA